rnacentral:rRNA from 1 species
GGUAGAGCACUGUUUCGGCUAGGGGGCCAUCCCGGCUUACCAACCCGAUGCAAACUGCGAAUACCGGAGAAUGUUAUCACGGGAGACACACGGCGGGUGCUAACGUCCGUCGUGAAGAGGGAAACAACCCAGACCGCCAGCUAAGGUCCCAAAGUCAUGGUUAAGUGGGAAACGAUGUGGGAAGGCCCAGACAGCCAGGAUGUUGGCUUAGAAGCAGCCAUCAUUUAAAGAAAGCGUAAUAGCUCACUGGUCGAGUCGGCCUGCGCGGAAGAUGUAACGGGGCUAAACCAUGCACCGAAGCUGCGGCAGCGACGUUUAUGCGUUGUUGGGUAG